UUGUAUUGUUUGGUUGUAAAUUUGCGCUCCGACAUUCCGUUUGUAGAAGCAUCUCGAUUUCCUCUACACACUGUCAAAUAAAGAAAUAAAUACAAUUAACAAUCAACUAAAUGAAAAAGAUUUAGAAAAACACAUAUGACGUCAAAUUAUAUAUGAAGAGACAUGAACAAAAUAUAAAAUACAUAUGACAUCCUAUAAUUGUAAUUAUAGUCAUAAACGAAUAUAUAUCAUUAAUCACGAAUGAAUACACUUACAAUCAUAAUGAAUACCUACCAUAGUUGUAGAUCUCAUGAGGCUCGUGACAAAACCCACUGUUGACUUAGAGAGUGUCACAAAUGAGAUCAUAAUUACUGUUAUACUCUUUAGGAAUAACAACUUAUAUUCUAUUUUAUAUAUAAUAGGUUUUAUUAAAAAUAUAAAAAGAAGAAUACACUAAACAUUUCAUCAAACAAUUUGUAUGCAUACAAAAUAUGCAAAUCUAUUAAGAAUAAAAACUACUUUUAAUAGUAUAGAUUAGUGAGGCUCUUUAGAAUGUUCACAGGAUAUGCUAACCUUAUAAAUUUUAGUUGCAAAUCAAGGACCAGAAAGUAAGCGUAGGCAAAGGAAUUGAUUAAACAACAGUACAUGUAAUAAUGAGAUGCUAACUUGAAAUUCUACUGAUGCCCUUGCUUUAUGGAAAUCGACUAGAAUAAAUAGAUGUUAUUAUAGAGAUUAAUUGGUACUAGAACUUGAUUAAAGCCCUGGUUUAUAGAAAUUAAUUGUGAUUUGGAUUAUGCUUGCAAGUAUAUGAAGAGGGUAAAAUCAGAAUUAUAGAGUUCCGAUUCCCUCUCAAUACGUGAUUAAUUUCCUUUCAUACCAAGUAGCCCUUGCUUUAUGAAAACCCUAAUUUCAGAAAAAAUAAUGACGAUUAAGAGGAACAACGAUGGUGAUAGAAAUUCGAAAAAAAUCACCUGAAAAUGGGAUGCCGAUCAUUCUUUUAAGGAUUGUUAUGGAGGUGGAAAAGGUGGACCAUGGUUUUGACGAACGUGAACAAUUGCAUCUUGGGUCGUGGUGGUUGUUCGAGGGAAACGAUGCCCGACCUAUAAACGUCGGCUAUACAUAAACUUCAUGAGUUAGCGAGUUAUGAUGGUCAGAUUAUGGAUGUGAGACUGUGACAAUCCAUUGUGCGAUGAAAGGAGUUUGAGAGAAGAAGAUAACAUGGUGUGCAAGAGGCGGUUUAUUGAUUAAACCCUAGAUAUAUAGAAAGAGAGAUGAACAACGAUAUGGAGAAUUGGAAAGGAAAUACGGGAGUGAGU
rnacentral:lncRNA from 1 species